rnacentral:rRNA from 1 species
CCCUAGGGGGGGCAGCAGUGGGGCCUCUUGCCCCCUUGUCUCCCGCCUGCUGCAGCAACGCCGCGUGAGCGAUGAAGGCCUUCGGGUCGUAAAGCUCUGUCCUCAAGGAAGAUAAUGACGGUACUUGAGGAGGAAGCCCCGGCUAACUACGUGCCAGCAGCCGCGGUAAUACGGAGGGGGCUAGCGUUAUCCGGAAUUACUGGGCGUAAAGGGUGCGUAGGUGGUUUCUUAAGUCAGAGGUGAAAGGCUACGGCUCAACCGUAGUAAGCCUUUGAAACUGGGGAACUUGAGUGCAGGAGAGGAGG